GUAAAUUAGAAAUAAAAUUAUGAUGGAUAUAUAAGGAGUUAUGCUCCGUUUAGAAUUGCGGAGAGAUUGUGUUAUGUGCUGCGAUUAAAAUAUCAUGUUUAUUUUCGUACAUAAUAUUGUGUUCCUUAUAUCGUAAUGAGUCGGUGACGAUAUAUUUUCUACGAUCGUACCGAAUAAAUAGUAGACUGAAUCAUUGAAUUAUCUUCCAAUUUUU
rnacentral:lncRNA from 1 species